ACGCUGGCGGCAGGCCUAACACAUGCAAGUCGAGCGGUAGAGAGAAGCUUGCUUCUCUUGAGAGCGGCGGACGGGUGAAUAAUGCCUAGGAAUCUGCCUGGUAGUGGGGGAUAACGUUCGGAAACGGACGCUAAUACCGCAUACGUCCUACAGGAGAAAGCAGGGGACCUUCGGGCCUUGCGCUAUCAGAUGAGCCUAGGUCGGAUUAGCUAGUUGGUGGGGUAAUGGCUCACCAAGGCGACGAUCCGUAACUGGUCUGAGAGGAUGAUCAGUCACACUGGAACUGAGACACGGUCCAGACUCCUACGGGAGGCAGCAGUGGGGAAUAUUGGACAAUGGGCGAAAGCCUGAUCCAGCCAUGCCGCGUGUGUGAAGAAGGUCUUCGGAUUGUAAAGCACUUUAAGUUGGGAGGAAGGGCAGUUGCCUAAUACGUAACUGUUUUGACGUUACCGACAGAAUAAGCACCGGCUAACUCUGUGCCAGCAGCCGCGGUAAUACAGAGGGUGCAAGCGUUAAUCGGAAUUACUGGGCGUAAAGCGCGCGUAGGUGGUUUGUUAAGUUGGAUGUGAAAUCCCCGGGCUCAACCUGGGAACUGCAUUCAAAACUGACUGACUAGAGUAUGGUAGAGGGUGGUGGAAUUUCCUGUGUAGCGGUGAAAUGCGUAGAUAUAGGAAGGAACACCAGUGGCGAAGGCGACCACCUGGACUAAUACUGACACUGAGGUGCGAAAGCGUGGGGAGCAAAC
rnacentral:rRNA from 1 species